AACGGCCGUACCAUGCUGAAUAUACCGGUUCUCGUUAGAUCACCGAAGUCAAGCAUCAUUGGGCGCGGUCAGUACUUGGGUGGGUGAACACC
rnacentral:rRNA from 1 species